rnacentral:lncRNA from 13 species
AUGCGCCCUUUGUCCGGCCAAGGGCCCAGAAGACCCACGGCCGGGCGCUCUUUGGGCCCGUCGAUGUCGGAGGGGAGCCCUCGAGGCCGCGCCGUCCCGCCGCCCUCCGCUGCUCGGGACGGGGCACAGCACUGCGGCUCACACCCACCGGGCGGAGGGGAGCGGGAUGGGCGCAGAAGGCGGGGCCGGGAGGGGAGGUGGAGGCUGCGGCCGGUCCCCCCUUCCCCCCGCCACCUCUCAUCUCCUCAGAGGCCGGCAAGCGCUCCGCUGCUGUCCCGAGGCCGCCUUCCCCUUCGAGCCUUGCCGCCGGGCGCUGCCCCCGCGGAGGGAGCCGGGCCGCGGCCGCCGCUGCCGCCGCCCCCUGGGGCGGGAAGGAGAAGCCGGGCUGCCGGGCCGAGCCCUGAAACCCGUUACUCAGGAAAACCUCUCAAUGACUUGGGAUGAUGUUUUCCCGCGGUGAACAUGUCUGCACGUUUGUGGAUCCCUGAUGGUUCAGUUUUACAAUGAGCGUGCAUUCUCGGUACAGAAUUCGGUACUGUAGUCACAGCGCUGGAAACUUGGCUUUCUGCAGCGGGACGCCCUCCACCCUCGUUGACAGCUGCCUCCCAGAGCAUAAGGGGUGUGCACUGAGGAUGGACAUUAAUGUAACUGUUUUCUUUCAUAACAGUUGUGAGUUAGAUGACUAACUCUGUCCCUUGCAAGAGUCCUAAUUUUUCUUCAGAUGUAUUCCAAAAAGACAGUCUAAAUUACUUCUUCCUGGCAAUUUAUAAGGCACUGAGUAGUGAAUUGUAAGUGCUCUUUUUUUAGGGUUUUCAAAAGCUAUUACUGUGCUUUGUUAGUGGGAAAUAAUUUCGUAUUAAUAGGUAUCAGAAGCCAAGUGGAAUACAAUGCUAUGACACUUUAGUUUCCUUGCAUGCAGUCGCAUGGCUGAAACCCAUAGUUCUAUGGAAGAACACCUGCAUUCAUUCGCACACACUUUCUUUCUUUCUUUCUGUCUUGUUUUCUGCUGCAUAAACCUUUAGCUUUGUAUUUAACAUUGUAUUAAACAUUGUAUCCCAAAACAACCAAUAAAUCAGCUCUUAGGAUCAGCAGCUGGCAUUCUAGUUCAUGGGUUGCUUUUUUCAUAUCAUGAUAUCAUUUAUUACAGCCUCAUCAAUAUAAACCUUUAACUAGAAACUAAUACUGGACACUUUGUUUCUAAAUUUUCUGAAUGAAGAGUGAUAGCAGCAUGACGACUGGGUGAGUCAGGAUUUUCCAUACAGAGCUUCCCAAUCUAAAUUAUGCUUUUGGGCCUCUAAGAAAGUGUGGUAGCCAGAAGGUUGGCCUCAAUAACAGUGAAUGUCCUUCAUAUUACAAGUUCCUUAAAAAUAGAUGUGGAGUUCAUUGUAUUUGUUACUGUUUUUUUUCCAGGUAAGUUCACCAUACUAAGUUCUAUCUGUAAACUAUUCUUUGAAUUGUAACAGCUAGAGAUUAUGUAUAGUGGAACAUGUAGAAGUAGAAAUUCUAAAAUCUGAGGUUUAUGAAGAUAUGUGAUACCCCAAAACUUUUGCUAAAAUCACUGGGACUAGCCCUAAGAAUAGGGGGAAAAAACAGAAAUGUGUCCUCAUCAGGCCAUGCUUUCUUGUGUGCAGGAUAUACAAAGGAUAACCUUUUCCUACACCAUUAGCUGGUGUAGGAAUGGGUUAACAGCCUGACCUUCAGACAGAACUCUUGUUGGCCCUACUCUGCAACACUUGUCUGAAAGGUUAUGCUCAAAGGGAGAGCUCACUGCCAGGAGGGAAAAAUCCAAAGAGAAAUACUAAGUAAAAGAACACUUCAAAAAAAAAAAAAAAAAAGUCUGCUUAGGUGCCUGGUGGCUUGGCAGAGAGCAAACCCUCGUAGAAGACAGUAAAAGACUGUAAGACUCAUCCACUGAAGGAACCAGACACAGUAAAUGAAGGAAAAUUGUCAGUCUGAUUUCUCUAUAUAAUUUCCCAAAAGGUUUAUGGAUAUAAAAGAAUCAGUAGAUAGAAAAAGAGUUUAAUAUCUAGUAAUUCAGUAGGAAACUACAUGGAAGAGCCACCUAGUAAAUUUUCAUAAAGGCUGCCACAGAAGGUCACCCUGUGGUAUGGCACUCUGAACUUUCAGUAGUGUGGUGCCAGUGCCUCUCCUGUAGUGUGCAACAGUGUGACAUAUACCUGGGAAGUCCCUGCAGCAAGGUCCUUGCAGUCUCUGUAGUUAUUUUACACUCUUCAAAAUACUGUCUUUCCUGAUACCCUAGGAUUUUCCGAAACAUCUCUUGCAGUUUAUCAAUUCUCUCGCUUUUUUUUUUUCUGGCAUCUGAUUUUUUUGUAGUCCCUAAUAGCUUAGAACCAUUUCUGCUGGUACUUGUGGUGAUGAGUACUGCCAAACUACCUUGGAACAGCAUGAGUAAAGCCCCAGUUUCUUGACAAUCUUGAAGGGAAAAUAUACCUCUAAAGCCCCAGAGUGACGGUCAGGUAGACCAAUCCUAAACCCUAAAAUACAUUAGUAACAACACACAGGCUUCUUGCAUCAGCAAGUCUCAUGAAUUUAAUAAAAUCCAUCUUCGUAACAUUUAACAUUAUUUCUGUAAGCUGUUUCAAACUAAUUUGUUGUCAUUUAAAAACUUUCCUCUUGAAUUAAUGCAUUUAUUCCACUAGGGACAGGGAUAUUAGACUUAAAUAUUUGUCAUCAGUGAUUUUGUUCCACUGAUUUAUGCUCUCUCUUAUUCUCUGCUUUACCCAGAAAAUAAGCUGAGCUUUUCCAUUCCUAGAGGACAGACUUCCCCUAGUUGACUGUACCUUCUCCAGCAAAUGUAUGGUUGACAAGGAAGGAAACAAUUCAAGGGAAAAUAGGCCUCAAAGUCCCAGUAUGGCAUUUCAAAACCUGUUUUAC